rnacentral:lncRNA from 1 species
GAAGUUGAGAGGAGUCUCAACACGAGCCGUUGUUCAUUGACACCAGUCUUGCCUUUGGCUUUUCAGGCCGUCGGGUUUUUUCAGAUAUUCAUUCUUCGUCGUAAGAACAUCACGAGUUCAACAUCUAGCAAUCAACCCUAACAAUAACACGAAAUCCAAAUUUCUUGUACCAAUCAACGAUCAAAUCAAUCAAUGAGCGGCUAGAAUCCAAAGUUCUGUACUGAAACUAACCUGGAAGUGCGACGCUACAGGCUUAGGAGAUUUCUACAAUUUCCAGCAAUCGACAAAACAGAACCGCGUAACCAUCAACGAAACAGAGAGAGUUUUGAUAUUUCUCUCUCAAAGGAAUUAGGUAUUGAUCGAUCAAUGUUAUAGA